AUUGAACGCUGGCGGCAGGCUUAACACAUGCAAGUCGAGCGGUAACAGAGAGUAGCUUGCUACUUUGCUGACGAGCGGCGGACGGGUGAGUAAUGCUUGGGAAUAUGCCUUGUGGUGGGGGACAACAGUUGGAAACGACUGCUAAUACCGCAUAUGCCUUUAUCCCAUAAGGGAGCAAGGGAAAUAUUUAUAGCUCUAGGAUCGGCCUGUACGGUAUCAGUUUGUUGGUGAGGUAAUGGCUCACCAAGACUAUGACGCCUAACUGGUUUGAGAGGAUGAUCAGUCACACUGGAACUGAGACACGGCCCAG
rnacentral:rRNA from 1 species